UGAAACUCCCAUAGUUUUUCCUUGUGAAAAGAUUUUUUUCAAAAUAUUUCCUUUCUGUUUUGAUAAGAGAACAUUGGAUUUUUGCUUUAAAGAGAAAUUUGAUUUAUUUUUAUUUUUAUUUUUUUGCUUGAACUGUGACAAUCAAAUGAGCAGUAGUUUUUGAUGAAUAACACCUGUUCUUUUUUAAACUGCAAAAUUCUUAAGAUAUAAUAGCUAAAUUGUCUUAUUUGUAGACAUUGUGUUUUCUUUCUUUUUUAACUUUUAUAGUGCUUUUUUUUUUUUUUUUUUUAAAUAGCAUUGUCCUUCUCAGCCUUAGCAUAUAACUUUUACAUUAGCCAAAUUCUAAAAGAGGUCUACUUUUAAGAGGAAAUUUUGCUUGGAAGAUCUGAGAUUCCUUAUCAUAAUUUAAAAAGAUCUUUCCAUUUUUAUUAGAUAUCUUAACUCGGAUAGCUAACUCUGGUUUAUUUUUCUCAUAAAUUGACUUAAAAAAAUAAUCUACAUUCUCUACCUUAACUGAACCAGUGGCACUGUAGUUUUAAGUAAAGUGCAAGGGAGUAAAAGUGUAGAGUCUGGUCUUUAUUGUUUCUGCAGUGGACUCAGCCUUCCCUUCACCCCUGUACCUGUAUACCCCCACCCCCAUAUUUUAUAUACUUAACUGUGGUCAAGAAGAGGCCAAUUGUAUAACUUUGCUCUUAAAACCAUGUAGAAUUGGCUGAAGCUGCGGUGCCAAUAUAUGGCUUACAUGCAUCCCUUUCCCUAUUCUCAUUGCAGACAUCAGCUCAAGGCAUGCCUUCUUGCGUAGCCAGAAGGCGGUCAAUUUUAGGGAGCCGUUACUGGUCAACCAGAGUUUCCUUGUGAGAAAAUCUCGCUGUUCUCAUUGGAAUAAAGAGUUUGGGAUGAGUACUAAAAGUUCUUUAUCUUUUUCCUUCAAGUCUAGGAUUUGGUAUGGCCCAAAUUAAGAGAUCUUGCUUAUUAUCUUAGAUUGGUAAGUGUGUUAGCAUUUUAGUAACUUUCUGAGUAUACUUAAACACACUUGAAUUUAGCACAACCAAAUUGAUUUCUGUCACCAUAAACCUUUUUAUGAAAUAUUCUGUUAGGAAACGUUAGAUGCCACUACAGUUCAUUUUUGGACAACUUUUCUGUAAAUUUACACUCAAAAAGUUAUCCUUCAUUUGGGAUGGGGAAUAGGCUGUGUCUUGUGAUCUAACUCAAUUCAUUGUUAAGUUUGAUGUGUUAGUCAGGGUUUUCCAGAGAAACAUAACUCUAAGCUGUGUGUGUGUGUACUCGUUUGUGUAUGUGUGUGAGAGAGAGAUUUUUAAGGAAUUGACUCACAUAAUUGUGGAGCUGACAAGUCCAAAAUCUGCAGGUUAGGCCAACAAGCAAGAGCUGAUGUUGCCAACUCCAGAUCUGAGCUGCGUCCUCGACCUACACUGCAGCUCAUGGCAGUACUGGAUCCUUAACCCACCAAGCAGGGGCAGAGGUCCAACCCUCAUCCUCAUGGAUUUGUCGGUUUCAUUACCACUGAGCCUCAAUGGGAACGUCUGUUAAUGUAAAUAUUAAUCCUCACUUUAAAAAAAUACUAUUCAGAAACAUCUAGAAUAAGGUUUAACCAAAUGUCUGGGUCCUGUGGCCUAGCCAACUUCACACAGUUGAGAGAGACUGACUCAUUCAGUGAUGAUUGAGUACCUAAUGUGAACCAGGCUCUAUGCUAGAUAUUGGAGGACCUCAGCAGAUUUAAAAAGAGAAAAAUAUAGUCAACAAUUUUUUUUUCUUGUCAACUAAUCUUAGAAAUAGAAAUUAGUCAUGCUUAUACUAAGUAUGGAAGGGAAACUUUCUUAAAAAAUAUGUAAUGGCAGAUAUAUAUUCAGUGUCCAAUAAUUUUAUAUUUAAUUUUAAAAUAAAUUUAGAAUUACACUGAAUUAAAAAUUUAUGUUUGGUUUUAGAAUGACUUUAUUCUUGAGUGUGUUAUUUUAGAAGUACUCUUUUAAGCUUAACAAAAUGCAAAUCUCUUUAGGAGUAACUUGUGUUGAAAGAGAAAAACGCUAUUUCAUCCAGACCUCUGCUCUGUUUUCUCAACGAUGAAGAGCACUGCUUUUUUCGUAUUACAGGAGAGCCCGGUUUCAGCCUAAGUAGACAUUUACCUCUUCUGUUGAAAUAUAUCCUCUGGCCUUGUCUACCUAAAUUAGAGUGAGAUUUAACAUGCUGAGGGAAGGGGACUCUUCAGAAAGGCAUGUCAAACCUUUUCCUCUUUUAUUUCCUUUUGAAUUAUUAGCAGAAAUGGUGAAAAUUUUGUUAGGAAAAAGGGAAACUAAGGAUUUGCCAUAUGGAGUGAAAUGAAUUAGUAUAUGAUAAUACUUGGCAUGAACUUUAAAUCAUUGUGGGGCAAAAAAUUGAUGACUACUUACACAUUCUUGUGGGGUUUAAUUCUCAAAAUUAGUUAAUAUGUUAGCUAAAAAUGAUUAAGAUUAAAUUUUCCGUCUGAAUUCUGUAUAGGGUGCAGUAAUUCUGUUAAGAGUUGUGCCUGUGAAGAGCAUGUGGGGCUCCUUUUGGUGGGUGAUCUGGGGCCGGGUUGGCUGGAGGUGGGCCUCUGCAUGCCGGCUGUCCUGCCUCAGUUCUCUUUAGCACCCGUCUAUUAUUUUGUUUUUGUUCCCAGGCAAAUGACUAUAAAAUUCCCCGUUCAAAACAAAACAAACUUUUAAAUAUAUGUUUGUGUAGGUCAGAAAUCCAGUAUGGGUCUCCCCAGACUGAGACAAGGUGUGAGAAAAGUCAGUUUCCUGUUCUUUUAGUCUGUGGGCAAAAUUAAAUUCUCGGGGGUUAUAGGACGUAGGUCUCUGUUUUCUUGUCUGUAAACUGCGAGCCCAUUCCACCUUCUUUGGGAGCUACAUCUUGGCUCAUGGACCCCUACUUCCAAUUUCAAAGCCAGCAACAGCAGUUCGAAUCCUUCUCAUUGGCACCUCUCUUGACUCUCCUUCUCUCAUUGCAUCUUUUCUUCUGAUUCAUGUGAUUAGGUUCAGCUCAGGAUAAUCUAGGAUAAUCUCACCAGCUCGAGGUCCAUAACUUUAAUCGCAUUUUCAAAGUCCCCUUUGCUGUGUUAGGCAAAAGAUUCCAGGGAUUAAGACGUGGGCAUAUUUGGGGGCUGUUGGUGCAUUAUUCAGCCUUCCAUACCUCCUUUUCACUCCUCAGAAUGUCCCAGUUUCACCAUCCAAUCUGAGUAGCCAGUUGAAGUAUUUAAAAUAGGAAUAAAAACUAAAACUCAGGUUUCUUCCUCCCUUUUAAAUUUAUGUUUCAGUUCUUUCCCUUUUUGUUUCCUCUCCUGCUUCCCUUUCAUACCUUUGCAAAGGUCAUGAAUCGUUUUCCUGGCUCACUUGUUAGAAGUCAGUGAGUGGGAAGUGUCUGUCAGUCCUCUUCUGUCCAUUAUUUAUGGAUAAAGGAGCCACAUGUUUUAUGGUGUGGUGGCUUCCAUCACUCUUUUAGUCUUUUGCUUUUGAAGCCUGUGACUCUCAUGUUCCUCAGUGUUUAGUGACAAGGUAGCCAGUGAAUCCCGAGGGUGUGGCAUCUAAAUUUGUGCUGCUGCUUGUGCUUGAGCCUGUCCUUAGACCGUUACAUGGGAAGAGGAGGAAGAGGAGGAAUUAAGACCGGCUUUUUUCUCCCUCUGCAUUUAGGCUCUAUUUUGUACCAGAAAGAUAGCUGGGCAUUACAUUUAUUUAAAUAGCUGCUGAUUUUUUUCAGAGGGCGUGGUUUUAUAUUCUAGAGACAAUUUUACUGAUACAACUGCAUUUUUAUCAAGUUAAGUACUUGAAUGUUUUUAUUUCACAUUUUGAAAUUUUUUAUUUAUUAGAUUAAAUUACAUUAAUUGAAGAAAACAGUUGUGUGUCUUGCGUGUAUCUAAAGACCAAAUUGCCGUUUCUAUCUACUCUUCAACUUAAAUUUGUAGUUUGGAACAUUGCCAACAGCAGAAAAUAUAAUUUAUAUUCAAAUGGAUUAAUUUGUUCCUUGGACAAUUUAAAAAAAGACUAAUUUAUGAUUUUUAAUGCUGUAUCUUAUUUUAAUAAGCUAAGUAGAUAUUUGAUACUUGCUAAUUUAUAUAUACUUGAGUCCUUAAUUUAAUCGUGAAUCCAUCAGAGUUUAGAUUUAGUUAAGUAAUGCAUAAGAUCUAAAACCAGUGCUACAUACUUCUAAAGUUCAUUUCUUUUUUUUCCCAUUCACAAUGCCAGUUUUACACUCCAUUUGCUGUCAGUGGAAAUGCAGGCGGCAGACACAGACAUAUUUAUCAUCACUGAGUUCACUGGAUCAUACAGGAAAAGUACAUUAAGAUGCCAUACAGAAAGUCUAACACACAUAAACAACCACUUAGCAUUUUUAAGAACAUAUCUGACUUAUUGAUCAGCUUAAAUAUCUUUCAUUCGAGCGUGUUACCCACGUGGAGCGCAUGCAUUCACGUACUUAUCUAAGCAAGAGCUGCUUGUGCUGAUGAAUGAGCACAUCUCCCCUUUAUGUAUCACCACGGAGAUCAAACCUUAGAAGGCUUUCCCCCUUCCAUCGGAAUCCCUAAAUCUUGUCACGAUUAAAUUAUUCUCGGGGUUCUUUAGAUAAGGUGCACUCCGGAAGAUAGCUGUAGAACACCUGAUUUUACACUGACAUUUGUGUUUGGUGUUCUGAGCCUCUUUUCCUGAAAUUUGUGUUGCUGUUUGUUGUUCUAGGCCCAGUGGCAGAUGCGGUGGGGAAUGGGGACUCUUCUUAAUUUCUCUUUUACUUAUGAACUCUUACGUUCUUCUAUAAAUGCUACCCUAGUAAAUUAGCCUCACCUCAGAUUGUGUGUAUGUUUAAAAAAUAUGUGCAAUAACUGUUAGAUUUUUUUUUCUAAUUGGAGUAUAUUGUCAAAAUUAGGAAAUAGCAAAAUAUAAUACCUAGUUUACAUGGAUACCAACCUAAACCUUAGAAAACAGUAAUAAGAAAUAAUACAGAUAUGAAAAAAAUAGGGGGAGUAAUUUAUUUAAAGGAUAAAGAACAGAUGAGUAUGUUUUCAUUUUAGGCCUUUAUGGGCAUUUUAUGUGAGUUCUAGAUUUGAGACAUUUUAAGAGAAAAAUGUCCUAGCCUUUUCUUUUAGUGAAACAGUACAACUGGAAGUUAUGUGUUUAAAAGUUUUAUGGUUUCCUCAGAUAAAUACUUUAUGUCCUAAUAUUUUCUCUCUCUAAAACAAAAAAGAGAAACAGAAUAGUUGCAAAUUAUGAUUCCUUGCAUACUUUCUAUGACCCUGUGCAGUUGGGUAAGGUUUUGUGUCCUCCUUUCUUGAAUCAUUCCUUUUGGACUGAACUAGCUCAUGGCGCCAGUCAAGCUGUUUCAUUUUAUUGUUGUUAGUUUCCAUAGAUAUGUUUUUAGAAUUUGUAAACGGGUGUGGUAUAGUCUUCAUUUCUGCUCUUUACUCAUCCUUUCCCUUCCUCUUCCAGAUUUGCACUAUUACUUCUUCAUCAUGCAAUCUAAAAUCUGUAGCUUCAGGAGUUCCCAUUGUAGCUCAGCAGGUUAAGGAUUCGAUGUUGUCUCUGUGAGGAUGCAGGUUCAAUUCCUGGCCUUGCCCAAUAGGUUAAGGAUCCAGCAUUUCUGCAAGCUGUGACAUCAGUUGCAGAUGCAGUUUGGAUCCUGUGUUGCCAUGGCUGUAGGCCACAGCUGCAGCUAUGAUUCUGCCCAUGGCCUGGGAACUUCCAUAUGCCACAGGUGUGGCAAGUGAAAAAAAAAAAAAAAAAUCUGGAGUUCUGCUGUGGGUACAAUAGGAUUGGUGGGAUCUCUGUAGCAUCAGGAUGCAGGUUUGAUCCCUGGCCCGGCACAGCGGGUUAAAAGAUCUGGUGUUGCCACGGGUGUGGCAUAGUUCGAAACUGGCUUGGAUCUUAUCCCUGGCCCAGGAACUUCAUAUGCCUUGGGGUGACCCCCCC
rnacentral:lncRNA from 1 species